ACAACGAAGACUGCGAUAGGACCA
rnacentral:siRNA from 1 species